rnacentral:misc_RNA from 1 species
CCAAUAGCGUAUAUUAAAGUUGUUGCAGUUAAAAAGCUCGUAGUUGAAUUUCGGGAUCAGUAGGUCGGUCGUGCCACUGGUAUGAACUGGUCUCACUGGUUCCUCCCUCUUGACGAACUGCAAUGCUAUUAAUUUAGUGUUGUAGGAAAUCAGGACUGUUACUUUGAAAAAAUUAGAGUGUUUAAAGCAGGCUUUGGCUUGAAUACAUUAGCAUGGAAUAAUGAAAUAGGACGUUCGAUCCUAUUUUGUUGGCUUCUAGGAUUGACGUAAUGAUUAAUAGGGACAGUUGGGGGCAUUAGUAUUCAAUUGUCAGAGGUGAAAUUCUUGGAUUUAUUGAAGACUAACUACUGCGAAAGCAUUUGCCAAGGAUGUUUUCAUUAAUCAAGAACGAAAGUUAGGGGAUCGAAGACGAUCAGAUACCGUCGUAGUCUUAACCAUAAACUAUGCCGACUAGGGAUCGGAUGAUGUUAAUUUUUAAUGACUCAUUCGGCGCCUUACG